CUUCAACAGGCUCCUGAAAAAUGAGAUGUCAUCCAUUGGAACUGAAGAGAACCAGGUUCAGGAAGCUUCUGGUUAGAUGAAUAUGUGGAGAUUCCUGGAGAGAGGCAGGCCGUCCUCAAUGGGAAGAUGUACCUUGCUUCCUUUUCACCGUCCACCUAUAUGUAUACAUCUACUCUCAACUCCACUCUCAUUCCUCCAAUGGUCCAUGGUUGGAAAAUGCCAGCAGAUGUUUUGAAAUAUGCAGGCUUGAUGACAUUUGGAUCUCUAGAAGUAGGGAGGAGAGCAGAGAAGUUUCUGAAGAAACCAGAAGAGAGAAAAAAAAAAACAGUAGAAUUGUGAGAAUCCAAGGAGAAACAGUAAAGCCAAAACUGGGAGAAAAGGAGAGGUAAGAGUUCUUAAACUAGGAGACUAACAUGAAGGAAAGUAGAAAACAUUCAGAAGCUUGAGAAAUGGUGACCGAGAAAGGAGAGGAAAAGCAUUGAAAAGGUAAGUUCUAAAUGAAUGUCAUGGAGCAAUAUGCAUUAAAACAAAGUAAAUAAGUGUUGUAAAUGACAAGAGGACAGAAUAGAAGCGAUUAACAG
rnacentral:lncRNA from 10 species